rnacentral:ncRNA from 2 species
GGACGAACCCUUGGAGAGAUCCACUCUGCAUAGCAGAAAAUGGACGCCGAAGGCGAAAGCAAUGAAUGCGAAACGCUCAGGCAAAAGGACAGGGGAGAAAAG